AGAGUUUGAUCAUGGCUCAGAUUGAACGCUGGCGGCAGGCCUAACACAUGCAAGUCGAGCGGUAACAGAAAUUAGCUUGCUAAUUUGCUGACGAGCGGCGGACGGGUGAGUAAUGCCUGGGAAUAUGCCUUAGUGUGGGGGAUAACUAUUGGAAACGAUAGCUAAUACCGCAUAACGUCUUCGGACCAAAGAGGGGGAUCUUCGGACCUCUCGCGCUAAGAUUAGCCCAGGUGAGAUUAGCUAGUUGGUGAGGUAAGAGCUCACCAAGGCGACGAUCUCUAGCUGGCCUGAGAGGAUGAUCAGCCACACUGGAACUGAGACACGGUCCAGACUCCUACGGGAGGCAGCAGUGGGGAAUAUUGCACAAUGGGCGAAAGCCUGAUGCAGCCAUGCCGCGUGUAUGAAGAAGGCCUUCGGGUUGUAAAGUACUUUCAGUAGGGAGGAAGGUGUUGUCGUUAAUAGCGGCAGCAUUUGACGUUACCUACAGAAGAAGCACCGGCUAACUCCGUGCCAGCAGCCGCGGUAAU
rnacentral:rRNA from 1 species